rnacentral:rRNA from 1 species
ACACGACUACAUUAGAUACCCCUGUAGUCCUAGCCGUAAACGAUACUCGCUAGGUGUCGGCCACGGUGCGACCGUUGUCGGUGCCGUAGGGAAGCCGUGAAGCGAGCCACCUGGGAAGUACGGCCGCAAGGCUGAAACUUAAAGGAAUUGGCGGGGAGCACCACAAGAGGUGGAGGCUGCGGUUCAAUUGGACUCAACGCCGGAAAACUCAUCGGGAGCGACAGCAGUAUGAUUGCCAGGUUGAUGACCUUGCUUGACAAGCUG